UGGCUCAGUUGAUAGAGCAUGGUGUUUGCAACGCCAGGGUUGUGGGUUCGAUUCCCAC
rfam:Salmo salar isolate Sally breed double haploid chromosome ssa10, whole genome shotgun sequence.